GUGGGGAAUAUUGGACAAUGGGCGAAAGCCUGAUCCAGCCAUGCCGCGUGUGUGAAGAAGGUCUUCGGAUUGUAAAGCACUUUAAGUUGGGAGGAAGGGCAGUAAGUUAAUACCUUGCUGUUUUGACGUUACCGACAGAAUAAGCACCGGCUAACUUCGUGCCAGCAGCCGCGGUAAUACGAAGGGUGCAAGCGUUAAUCGGAAUUACUGUGCGUAAAGCGCGCGUAGGUGGUUUUGUAAGUUGGAGGUGAAAUCCCCGGGCUCAACCUGGGAACUGCCUCCAAAACUGCAUGACUAGAGUAAGGUAGAGGGUAGUGGAAUUUCCUGUGUAGCGGUGAAAUACGUAGAUAUAGGAAGGAACACCAGUGGCGAAGGCGACUACCUGGACUGAUACUGACACUGAGGUGCGAAAGCGUGGGGAGCAAACAGGAUUAGAUACCCCAGUAGUCC
rnacentral:rRNA from 1 species